AGCAGCCGCGGUAAUUCCAGCUCCAAUAGCGUAUAUUAAAGUUGUUGCAGUUAAAAAGCUCGUAGUUGAACUUCGGGGUUUACCCAUUGGUCAGGCUUAAUUGUCUGUACUGGUGAGAUAAAUCUCUACCUUCUGAGGAACUUUCAUGUCAUUAAUUUUGUGUGAUUGGAAACCAGGACUGUUACUUUGAAAAAAUUAGAGUGUUUAAAGCAGGCUAACGUCUGAAUACAUUAGCAUGGAAUAAUGAAAUAGGACGGACUGAUUCUAUUUCGUUGGUUUCUAGGAUCACCGUAAUGAUUAAUAGGGAUAGUUGGGGGCAUUAGUAUUCAAUUGUCAGAGGUGAAAUUCUUGGAUUUAUUGAAGACUAACUACUGCGAAAGCAUUUGCCAAGGAUGUUUUCAUUAAUCAAGAACGAAAGUUAGGGGAUCGAAGACGAUCAGAUACCGUCGU
rnacentral:rRNA from 1 species